GUGAAGAAGGGAAGUUCUAUAUAUUUAUGUGAUAUUUCAUGAGAACACUUACUAUUAUCUUUCAAUUUCUGUAAAUAAUAUAUUGUUUCAUAUGAUUUGCUCAUUUCUUCACGGUUUUCCUCAUGAUGACUGCUGGUCAUUGACUCUCUCUAUCUCUUGCUCUCUAAUUCGUUAAUUACCUGUUGUAGUGGCUUUGGUGAAUAAUGGUAGAUUAAGGUCAUGUCCUCGGUCGGGGCUGGGGCACAUCUUCAGCUUAGCAAAGACAUGACCCUUGAUAGUGGGGUGGAGGUCGACGAUUAGGGUAUAGGUUAGUUAGUAGUCGAGUUUAUUUCCUUUCCACACCUGUACUUCCUCCCUAGUUCUAGUACUAGUGUUCUCUUUGCUUCGUUUUAUUUUCUGGUUGUUGUUACUAUUUCGUUUGCCGCAGUUCUCUGUCGUAACUGCUGUGAUUUUGUUGUAUUGAGCCGAGGAUGUUUCGGAAACAGUCUCUUUACCUUCACAAGGUAGGAGUAAGGACUGUAUAUAUACUAUCCUUCCCAGAUCCCACUUAUGGGAGUAUACUGGUCAUGAUCUUACAGAGUAUCUUGCUUCGUCCUCAGUAACAAAAGCAAUUGCUACGAGAGACAGCUCGAAUCAUGGCAUUAGAGGCUUAGAAAGGAAACUAGUUUCUCAUCCAAAUGAUCUGACUUGCUGGAGACCAUGUGCUUGUGACUCUGAGUGUUCUGAUGGUUGGAUUUGUACAUUGUGCGAAUGGGAUAUUCUUUUUCGCCAGAAGACGUGUUCUGCUAGCUCCUUCACAUUCUCGAUAGCAGGUCGAAUGUGGCUUUGAUUAUAUUUCUUUUACUUGUUCUCGUCGUCCCCCACUUGUGGGAUUAUACUGGGUUGUUGUUUUUGCCUGUUUGAACAAAUUAAUAUUGGGUUCAUCUCCAAAGUCUUGCAUUGAUAAUGGCCUGAUCCUUGUCACUAAAUGUGUACUAGUACUACUAUAUCUUUGCUCUACGAUUCUAUAUUAUCGAGCUUGUUUGCUCUUUUACUUUCAAGCA